rnacentral:rRNA from 1 species
AUGCACGCUGGCGGCGUGCCUAAUCCCUGCAAGUCGAGCGCACGGACGAGAAGCUUGCUUCUCUGAUGUUAGCGGCGGACGGGUGAGUAACACGUGGAUAACCUACCUAUAAGACUGGGAUAACUUCGGGAAACCGGAGCUAAUACCGGAUAAUAUUUUGAACCGCAUGGUUCAAAAGUGAAAGACGGUCUUGCUGUCACUUAUAGAUGGAUCCGCGCUGCAUUAGCUAGUUGGUAAGGUAACGGCUUACCAAGGCAACGAUGCAUAGCCGACCUGAGAGGGUGAUCGGCCACACUGGAACUGAGACACGGUCCAGACUCCUACGGGAGGCAGCAGUAGGGAAUCUUCCGCAAUGGGCGAAAGCCUGACGGAGCAACGCCGCGUGAGUGAUGAAGGUCUUCGGAUCGUAAAACUCUGUUAUUAGGGAAGAACAUAUGUGUAAGUAACUGUGCACAUCUUGACGGUACCUAAUCAGAAAGCCACGGCUAACUACGUG